rnacentral:rRNA from 1 species
UACAGAGGUCCCAAGCGUUGUUCGGAUUCACUGGGCGUAAAGGGUGCGUAGGUGGUUGGGUAAGUCUGAUGUGAAAUCUCCGAGCUCAACUCGGAAACUGCAUUGGAUACUAUUCAACUCGAGGGUUGGAGGGGGGACUGGAAUACUUGGUGUAGCAGUGAAAUGCGUAGAUAUCAAGUGGAACACCAGUGGCGAAGGCGAGUCCCUGGACAACUCCUGACACUGAGGCACGAAAGCUAGGGGAGCAAACAGG